rnacentral:piRNA from 1 species
UGAAUCAUAACUGUGAUCCCGAACUC